rnacentral:tRNA from 1 species
GUAGAUGUAGUUUAACAAAAACAUUAGAUUGUGAUUCUAAAAACAGAGGUUAAACUCCCCUCAUCCACC